rnacentral:rRNA from 1 species
UACGGGAGGCAGCAGUGGGGAAUUUUCCGCAAUGGGCGAAAGCCUGACGGAGCAACGCCGCGUGAGGGAUGAAGGCCUCUGGGCUGUAAACCUCUUUUAUCAAGGAAGAAGAUCUGACGGUACUUGAUGAAUAAGCCACGGCUAAUUCCGUGCCAGCAGCCGCGGUAAUACGGGAGUGGCAAGCGUUAUCCGGAAUUAUUGGGCGUAAAGCGUCCGCAGGCGGCCCUACAAGUCUGCUGUUAAAAAGUGGAGCUUAACUCCAUCAUGGCAGUGGAAACUGUUGGGCUUGAGUGUGGUAGGGGCAGAGGGAAUUCCCGGUGUAGCGGUGAAAUGCGUAGAUAUCGGGAAGAACACCAGUGGCGAAGGCGCUCUGCUGGGCCAUCACUGACGCUCAUGGACGAAAGCCAGGGGAGCGAAAGGGAUUAGAUACCCCUGUAGUCCUGGCCGUAAACGAUGAACACUAGGUGUCGGGGGAAUCGACCCCUCCGGUGUCGUAGCCAACGCGUUAAGUGUUCCGCCUGGGGAGUACGCACGCAAGUGUGAAACUCAAAGGAAUUGACGG